rnacentral:rRNA from 1 species
AUACGUAGGGUGCAAGCGUUAAUCGGAAUUACUGGGCGUAAAGCGUACGCAGGCGGUUUUGUAAGACAGAGGUGAAAUCCCCGGGCUCAACCUGGGAACUGCCUUUGUGACUGCAAGGCUAGAGUGCGGCAGAGGGGGAUGGAAUUCCGCGUGUAGCAGUGAAAUGCGUAGAUAUGCGGAGGAACACCGAUGGCGAAGGCAAUCCCCUGGGCCUGUACUGACGCUCAUGCACGAAAGCGUGGGGAGCAAACAGGAUUAGAUACCCUGGUAGUCCACGCCCUAAACGAUGUCAACUGGUUGUUGGGUCUUCAUUGACUCAGUAACGAAGCUAACGCGUGAAGUUGACCGCCUGGGGAGUACGGCCGCAAGGUUGAAACUCAAAUGAAUUGACGGGG